rnacentral:rRNA from 1 species
CCUACGGGAGGCAGCAGUAGGGAAUCUUCCGCAAUGGACGAAAGUCUGACGGAGCAACGCCGCGUGAACGAUGAAGGCCUUCGGGUCGUAAAGUUCUGUUGUUAGGGAAGAACAAGUGCUAGUUAAAUAAGCUGGCACCUUGACGGUACCUAACCAGAAAGCCACGGCUAACUACGUGCCAGCAGCCGCGGUAAUACGUAGGUGGCAAGCGUUGUCCGGAAUUAUUGGGCGUAAAGCGCGCGCAGGCGGUUUCUUAAGUCUGAUGUGGAAGCCCCCGGCUCAACCGGGGAGGGUCAUUGGAAACUGGGAAACUUGAGUGCAGAAGAGGAAAGUGGAAUUCCAAGUGUAGCGGUGAAAUGCGUAGAGAUUUGGAGGAACACCAGUGGCGAAGGCGACUUUCUGGUCUGUAACUGACGCUGAGGCGCGAAAGCGUGGGGAGCAAACAGGAUUAGAUACCCUGGUAGUCCACGCUGUAAACGAUGAGUGCUAAGUGUUAGAGGGUUUCCGCCUUUAGUGCUGAAGUUACGCAUUAAGCACUCCGCCUGGGGAGUACGGUCGCAAGACUGAAACUCAAAGGAAUUGACGG